GUAGGGAAUAUUGCGCAAUGGAGGCAACUCUGACGCAGCCAUGCCGCGUGCAGGAAGAAGGCGCUACGCGUUGUAAACUGCUUUUAACCGGGAAGAAACCCCAGGACGUGUCCUGGGUUGACGGUACCGGAGAAAUAAGCACCGGCUAACUUCGUGCCAGCAGCCGCGGUAAUACGAAGGGUGCAAGCGUUAUCCGGAUUCAUUGGGUUUAAAGGGUGCGUAGGCGGAGCGUUAAGUCAGUGGUGAAAUCCUGCAGCUUAACUGUAGACUUGCCAUUGAUACUGGCGCUCUUGAGUGCGCUUGAAGUGGGCGGAAUGUGCCGUGUAGCGGUGAAAUGCUUAGAUAUGGCACAGAACACCAAUUGCGAAGGCAGCUCACUAAGGCGAUACUGACGCUGAGGCACGAAAGCGUGGGGAUCGAACAGGAUUAGAAACCCGUGUAGUCC
rnacentral:rRNA from 1 species